rnacentral:tRNA from 1 species
CAGGGAAUAGUUUAAAAUAGAAUAUCAGCUUUGGGAGUUGAAGGUAAGAUAUAGUGUCUUUUCCCUGA